GAUCCUUCCCAACAUACCUUGAAC
rnacentral:siRNA from 1 species